rnacentral:lncRNA from 1 species
AUGCCAGUAGAGCCACUGGAGCGCCAAGCUUGCUCCAACGGGGAAAUGAAUCCACACGGUGGACCCCCUCCCCGCAGUGGUGGGAAGCGCCCCCUCCCGCACUGCCGUGCCGAACAAAGCGGCCGCCUGCGGCGAAGCCGGGAGCGGGGCCUGGGUCCUACACACAGGGUGGGCUGGUGCGCAGGACCCCUCGGGUGCUCUGCCGGGACUGCGGGACCCGCCCCCGCCCCGCCCCGCCCCGGCAAGGAGCCUAGAAAUGGACACCCACCGCCCCCGGCCUCGCGCGCAAACACACCCGGGCGCACGCCGGACAAGCCGCGCGCGGUGCCCGAGCCCCGCCACCUAGGCGGUUCGAAGACCCUGGACAGCGGCUCCCAUGCGGCCGCGAGAGGAAGGGGGUCGACACCGCCCGCCCAGAGAGGGCAGCAGGUGCGGGCGCGGCGCUUACCCGGCCGUGCCGUCGCUCUGUCUCCUCGGCGCGCUGCGCUCCGGAUCCUGCUGCCGUCGCUGCCGCCACCCGAGCGGCCUCGGUUGCCUCCGGCGGGGCUGGCGGGCGGACCCGCGGACUCCGCGCCGGCGUCCCCCGCGCCGGCUCCGCGCUCCCGCCCCGCGCCCCGCCCCGGGCAUGCGCGCUGGCCGACUCGCGGCCUCGGAAACCCGGAGGGGGCGGUGCCGGCGCGGAAGCGGGGUCUCGAGGAACCGAGGGAGGGGCACCCCUCGCCGCCGCCCUUUACCGCAGCCCCUGGGCUCCUGGGUUCCUCGCCCUCCUGGACCCGGUUCCCAUUUCACAAACGAGGAGACGGAGAGGCGGAGCGCUGGCCAUUUGCUGCGCGCCAGUUGAGGGCAGGGCGGGCUGUCUCGGAUCUCGCUCAAUCCAGCUCCGCGAAUGCCCCCUCCUUGUUUAACCGAGGAGGAAAUUGGGGCUUAGAGAAGGGAAGCCACCUGUUGGAGGACACGCGGCGCCUGGAAGGAGACCCAGGUCGGCGUGAUCUCGGAGCUGCCCCUGCGCGGAAAUUUCCCGCCUCCGCCUUGGCCGCACUUCCGGCCUUCUCCCCCGCCCCCGCCUUUGUCUCGCCGCCGCCCACGCUCCCGCGAGUGGCGGGGGUGGGGAGAGGCGCCUUCGAUAUCCCUGCUACUUGCCUCCCUAUCCCUAUCCUCCCUGCCCGCCCUGCCUCUAGUCUGUGCAAGCCGGGUUCUCCUAUCCCUGGGUUCCUCGGGCAAGUCUUUUCACCUCUCUGA